CAGUCGAGCGAACACUUUGGAAAGAUUCUUCGGAUGAUUUCCUUUGUGACUGAGCGGCGGACGGGUGAGUAACGCGUGGGUAACCUGCCUCAUACAGGGGGAUAACAGUUAGAAAUGACUGCUAAUACCGCAUAAGACCACGGUACCGCAUGGUACAGUGGUAAAAACUCCGGUGGUAUGAGAUGGACCCGCGUCUGAUUAGGUAGUUGGUGGGGUAACGGCCUACCAAGCCGACGAUCAGUAGCCGACCUGAGAGGGUGACCGGCCACAUUGGGACUGGGACACGGCCCAGACUCCUACGGGAGGCAGCAGUGGGGAAUAUUGCACAAUGGAGGAAACUCUGAUGCAGCGACGCCGCGUGAAGGAUGAAGUAUUUCGGUAUGUAAACUUCUAUCAGCAGGGAAGAAAAUGACGGUACCUGACUAAGAAGCCCCGGCUAACUACGUGCCAGCAGCCGCGGUAAUACGUAGGGGGCAAGCGUUAUCCGGAUUUACUGGGUGUAAAGGGAGCGUAGACGGCACGGCAAGCCAGAUGUGAAAGCCCGGGGCUCAACCCCGGGACUGCAUUUGGAACUGCUGAGCUAGAGUGUCGGAGAGGCAAGUGGAAUUCCUAGUGUAGCGGUGAAAUGCGUAGAUAUUAGGAGGAACACCAGUGGCGAAGGCGGCUUGCUGGACGAUGACUGACGUUGAGGCUCGAAAGCGUGGGGAGCAAACAGGAUUAGAUACCCUGGUAGUCCACGCCGUANACGAUGACUGCUA
rnacentral:rRNA from 1 species